rnacentral:rRNA from 1 species
GAUGAACGCUGGCGGCGUGCCUAAUACAUGCAAGUCGAGCGAACAGACGAGGAGCUUGCUCCUCUGAUGUUAGCGGCGGACGGGUGAGUAACACGUGGAUAACCUUCCUAUAAGACUGGGAUAACUUCGGGAAACCGGAGCUAAUACCGGAUAACAUGUUGAACCGCAUGGUUCAACAGUGAAAGACGGUCUUGCUGUCACUUAUAGAUGGAUCCGCGCCGCAUUAGCUAGUUGGUAAGGUAACGGCUUACCAAGGCAACGAUGCGUAGCCGACCUGAGAGGGUGAUCGGCCACACUGGAACUGAGACACGGUCCAGACUCCUACGGGAGGCAGCAGUAGGGAAUCUUCCGCAAUGGGCGAAAGCCUGACGGAGCAACGCCGCGUGAGUGAAGAAGGUCUUCGGAUCGUAAAACUCUGUUAUUAGGGAAGAACAAAUGUGUAAGUAACUAUGCACGUCUUGACGGUACCUAAUCAGAAAGCCACGGCUAACUACGUG